rnacentral:rRNA from 1 species
CUGACACAGGUGGCUGCAUGGCUGUCGUCAGCUCGUGUCGUGAGAUGUUGGGUUAAGUCCGUACGAGCGCAACCCUUGUCCUUAGUUACCAGCACGUUAUGGUGGGCACUCUAAGGAGACUGCCGGUGACAACCGGAGGAAGGUGGGGGAUGACGUCAAGUCAUCAUGGCCCUUACGGCCUGGGCUACACACGUGCUACAAUGGUCGGUACAAAGGGUUGCCAAGCCGCGAGGUGGAGCUAAUCCCAUAAAACCGAUCGUAGUCCGGAUCGCAGUCUGCAACUCGACUGCGUGAAGUCGGAAUCGCUAGUAAUCGUGAAUCAGAAUGUCACGGUGAAUACGUUCCCGGGCCUU